rnacentral:rRNA from 1 species
GAUGAACGCUGGCGGCGUGCCUAAUACAUGCAAGUCGAGCGAACGGACGAGAAGCUCGCUUUUCUGUUGUUAGCGGCGGACGGGUGAGUAACACGUGGCUAACCUACCUCUAUGACUGGGACAACUUCGGGAAACCGGAGCUAAUACCGGUACAUAUUUUGAACUGCAUGGUUCAAGAGUGAAAGAUGCUGUUGCUGUAACUUAUAGAGGGAUCCGCGCUGCAUUAGCUAGUUGGUAAGGUAACGGCUUACCAAGGCAACGAUGCCUAGCCGACCUGAGCGGGUGAUCGGCCACACUGGAACUGAGACACGGUCCAGACUCCUACGGGAGGCAGCAGUAGGGAAGCGUCCGCAAUGGGCGAAAGCCUGACGGAGCGACGCCGCGUGAGUGAUGAAGGUCUUCGGAUCGUAAGACUCUGUUAUUGGGGAAGACCAUAUGUGUAAGUAACUGUGCACAUCUUGACGGUACCUGAACAGAAAGCCACGGCUAACUACGUG